rnacentral:rRNA from 1 species
CCCUUAGAUGUUCUGGGCGGCCCGCGCACUACAAUGGCGCUUUCAGCGAGUUCCUAUGUUGAAUUUUCCUGGGUAUUCUUGGAAGCGGCGUCUUGACUUGGGAUAGAUCCUUGUAAUUGUUGGUUUUGAACGAGGAAUUCCUUGUAAUCGCGGUUGAUCAGCUCGCGUUGAAUACGUCCCUGCCCUUUGUACACACCGCCCGUCGCUCCUACCGAUGAAUCGUCCGGUGAAGUUCACAGAGUGGCGGUUCGUGGAGUUGCUCACGAAGUGAAAUGGACCUCACGAUUUAGAGGAAGGAGAAGUCGUAACA